CUGGCGUCUUCGACGUCCGAGUUGUAAUUUGAAGAAGGCGACUUUGUAGCUGGUCCUUGUCUAUGUUCCUUGGAACAGGACGUCAUAGAGGGUGAGAAUCCCGUGUGGCGAGGAUCCCAGUUAUUUGUAAAGUGCUUUCGACGAGUCGAGUUGUUUGGGAAUGCAGCUCUAAGUGGGUGGUAAAUUCCAUCUAAAGCUAAAUAUUGGCGAGAGACCGAUAGCGAACAAGUACAGUGAUGGAAAGAUGAAAAGAACUUUGAAAAGAGAGUGAAAAAGUACGUGAAAUUGUUGAAAGGGAAGGGCAUUUGAUCAGACAUGGCGUUUGCUUCGGCUUUCGCUGGGCCAGCAUCAGUUUUAGCGGUUGGAUAAAUCCUCGGGAAUGUGGCUCUGCUUCGGUAGAGUGUUAUAGCCCGUGGGAAUACAGCCAGCUGGGACUGAGGAUUGCGACUUUUGUCAAGGAUGCUGGCGUAAUGGUUA
rnacentral:rRNA from 1 species